rnacentral:lncRNA from 1 species
AGUGUUCUGCUAGCAGCCUCCUGAUGAAAAUGUAGAAUUCUCAACUCCUCCUGCACCAUGCCUGCCUGGACCCUGCCAUGUUCCUGCCUUGAUGAUAAUUGACUGAGCCUCUGAACGUGGGAUGACUUUAUUGAAGUAUGUGUGGCCUUGUUGGAGGAAGUGUGUCACUGUGGCACGGUAGGCUUUGAGGUCUCCUAUGCUCAAGCUAUGCCCAGUAUGGCAGGCACUCCGUUUCCUUCUGCUGCCUGUGGAUCAAGAUGUAGAACUCUUAGCUUCUUCUCCAGCACCACGUUUGCCUGCACACUGCAGUGUUUCCUGCUGUGAUAAUAGACUAAACUUCUGAAAAUUACUGUCAUUGGGGGCUGGAUCGAUGGCUCAUCAGUUAAGAGCACUGACUGCUCUUCCAGAGGUCCUGAGUUCAAUUUCCAGCAGCCACAUGGUGACUCACAACCAUCUGCAAUGAGAUCUGAUGCCCUCCUCUAGUGUGUCUGAAGAUAGCUACAGUGUACUCAUAUAAAUAAAAUAAGUAAAUCUUUAAAAAAGAAAAAAAAAG